rnacentral:rRNA from 1 species
CGAGCGGACAGAUGGGAGCUUGCUCCCUGAUGUUAGCGGCGGACGGGUGAGUAACACGUGGGUAACCUGCCUGUAAGACUGGGAUAACUCCGGGAAACCGGGGCUAAUACCGGAUGGUUGUUUGAACCGCAUGGUUCAAACAUAAAAGGUGGCUUCGGCUACCACUUACAGAUGGACCCGCGGCGCAUUAGCUAGUUGGUGAGGUAACGGCUCACCAAGGCAACGAUGCGUAGCCGACCUGAGAGGGUGAUCGGCCACACUGGGACUGAGACACGGCCCAGACUCCUACGGGAGGCAGCAGUAGGGAAUCUUCCGCAAUGGACGAAAGUCUGACGGAGCAACGCCGCGUGAGUGAUGAAGGUUUUCGGAUCGUAAAGCUCUGUUGUUAGGGAAGAACAAGUACCGUUCGAAUAGGGCGGUACCUUGACGGUACCUAACCAGAAAGCCACGGCUAACUACGUGCCAGCAGCCGCGGUAAUACGUAGGUGGCAAGCGUUGUCCGGAAUUAUUGGGCGUAAAGGGCUCGCAGGCGGUUUCUUAAGUCUGAUGUGAAAGCCCCCGGCUCAACCGGGGAGGGUCAUUGGAAACUGGGGAACUUGAGUGCAGAAGAGGAGAGUGGAAUUCCACGUGUAGCGGUGAAAUGCGUAGAGAUGUGGAGGAACACCAGUGGCGAAGGCGACUCUCUGGUCUGUAACUGACGC